UGUUUAACUUAUGAUGUCGACAUAUGUACAUUUAAAUUAAAGUAGAAAGUUUGGUAAAUUUGGAAACCACUAAUUGAAAACAUGACUUCAUCAAUUGAAGAAUCUUCCUUGAAUGAAGUUCGUCUUUCAGACAAUAAUGAAUUAUUUAAAGAUGAAGUCCCAAAACCUGCAUGUGCCACAAGGAAGGAAAUAUUAAGAGAACUCAAGAAUGUAUCAGAUGAAAUUUAUGACAAGUUAACUGAAAUAAAUUUCGAAAUCAUAGACGAGCUUAACAAUAUCAGUAAAAUGGAGAAUAAUAGUGACUUACAUAAUAUAGCAAAUUUUCAAUGUCCUAGUGAAUAUGGUUCAACGGAUAUAGUAGAAAUUUUGUUUUAGCUGGAAGUUUAGAACCACGUUAGCUUAUUGUUCAAAGGCAAACUGAAGACAGCAAUAAGUAAUAUUUCGUCCUCAACUAAACAAGAAAAUGAUUAAAGGAUAUUUGGAAAAUAAAUUAGCUAUAGAAUUAAAAGCCUGCAGUACCUAAUGAAUUACCUGAGACCAUAAAUACAGUUUGAAACAAUAUUAAUUGCAAUUAUUUUUUAACAACUUUCUAAAUAAAUAC